rnacentral:rRNA from 1 species
AUGGAGCUUUAGACACCAGAGCAGCCUGCGUUAAGCACCCUGAAUAAAGGACUAAACCGAGCGGGCCCCGCCCUAAUGUCUUUGGUUGGGGCGACCGCGGGGAAUCACAAAACCCCCACGUGGAGUGGGAGCACUUCUCCUACAAUCAAGAGCCACAGCUCGAGAAAACAGAACUUCUGACCAACAAGAUCCGGCAAUGCCGAUCAACGGACCG